rnacentral:rRNA from 1 species
GACGAACGCUGGCGGCGUGCUUAACACAUGCAAGUCGAACGGAAAGGCCCUUCUUUUGUUGGUUGCUCGAGUGGCGAAUGGGUGAGUAACACGUGAGUAACCUUCCCUUUACUUUUGGCUAACUUCAGGUAACUGUGGUUCCUACUGGAUAUGCGCUCCUCCUGCAUGGUGUUGGUUGGAUUGUUCCGGCGGUUGGGGAUGGACUCGCGGCUUAUCAGCUUGUUGGUGGGGUAGUGGCUUACCAAGGCUUUGACGGGUAGCCGGCCUGAGAGGGUGACCGGCCAAAUGGGGACUGAGAUACGGCCAAGACUCCUACGGGAGGAAGAAGGGGGGAAUAUUGAAAAAGGGGCGGAGGCCGGAUGCAGAAACGCCGCGUGCGGGAUGACGGCCUUCGGGUUGUAAACCGCUUUAGCAUGUGACGAAGCGGGAGUGACGGUAAUGGGUAAAGAAGCACCGGCUAACUACGUG